GCCAAUGCAACUUUUGAGACGAACAAAAAAUGAAAUAUGCAACUGCAUAAAUACUGAGAAAACUUUGAUAUAUGGAAUGCUUUUGCAAACACAAUCCAAAAACAAGAUUGGGGUUAAGCACUUGUUUUGUUCCAUAUUUUAGUUCAGGAGUUUCUUGGCAGAAGCAGGCAGUCACAUCAUGUUGCUAUGAAAAUUAUGUCAUCUCAAAAGCUUUUUGAAAGCUUUUCAAGUCAAAGAAGGAGAGGAAACAAAAGAACUGUUCAAGUUCGCAAUUCAUUCAUCAUUAUGUAUAUUAAAAAAUCGCUGCACAACAGAUUUGUAAACAGGGUAGGCUCUAACAGAAGUUAUAAUUAAUGUUAAUUAUACUAGGGCCGUCUGUAUAUCAGGUCAUUGUGAGACACAAAUACCCAGAAAAAUAAUUUCUUCCCGUCACUCUACCAAAUCAUUCUGGAAUUGUUUAGAGACCCGUCUUCAUGAAAACUAGGCUGUGUCAUUAAGACAGAUCCAAAUCCCAUGCAAACGAGUUCUGCUUUGGUCUUUUCUCUAUAUCAUCCAGUUUACAGCCUUUUAUAAUUUCAACAUUUUUAGGGGAAGGGGAUGUAACAGGACUUUCAAGUUAUCAUAUUAUGCUAUAUUCAGGACAAAAUUUUUAAGUUAUCAGUUAGUGACUGAAUUCAAAUGUUAGGUAAAAAUAGAAGGCAAUAUUCACUUACCUUCAUCGAUAUUUAAUGAUUUUAACAUGGUUAUUCGAAUUUUUUCCCCUAAAUUGUACUCAGAUUUCCAUUAUGGCAAUAAUUAAAAUAAUCUCCAGUUUAGUUUCUUUACAGGAAGUUUUGCAGGUACUUUUCAUGAGGGAGUACCAUUCCACAGCCAGGAAAUGUAGCUAACGAUCCAUGCUUCAGAUCAAACAGCAAGAAAACCAUUCAGAAUUCAUUUAGUACAGAGAGCAAGCGAUGUCACAGCAUGAAACAAGUAAGUCCCGUAUUUCAUUUUUGUAACCACUGAUUUAAAGUGACAUUUUUCUCUUUUGGGUGUUAAUCUAAGAAAAGACAUGAAGGUCUUAAUUAAAAAAAAAAAUCAACCAAUCUGCUACUAUACAAUGGUUGUUUGCGGUGAAUGUAGAAAAAACAAAAUGAAUCUGAAUUUCUGAAGAUUUUAGAAAUGAGAGUUUAGCCUGCCUUUAAAUGAAUAAUAUGAACCUGUAGUAAACAGGUGAAAAUACCCAUCCCCUACUCUGCUACAGAGAGGAUUAAUGUAACUUCACUUUCAUUUCAAAUGCAACAUCAGGGAUAUUAAUCUGGACUUGUAAUCUUCAUGCUAUAGUUUUGGAAGUCUUUCUUUGUAUAUCAAAUGACAGUGGGAAAGAACUGGUAAAUUUAAGGGGCGCCUGAAGGGCUCAGUCGGUUGAGCGUCUGACCGGCUCCGGUCCUGAUCUUGCAGCUUAGGAGCUGAAGCCCCUCAUCAGGCUCUCUGCUGUCAGAGUGGAGCCUGUUUCAGAUGUCUGCCCCUCUCCCACUCACUGUCUCUGUGCUCUCAAAACAAAUACACUUAAAGAAAAAACAAUUGGUAAAUUUAAGUAUGAUUCACACUUACAUCAUUUUUUCGGUAAAAGAAGAAUUACCAAGUACUUAUAAUUGAUCAUUUUGAGUGCUAUGUCUCAUUGGGAAAACUGCAACACCAAAACAUACAUAGUUUGUAGAAAAGGCAUAGCGAGCCAGUGCCAGAGUCAGUUACAGAACCACCUAAAUCUAAACCAUAUACCCAUCUGCAGAAUCAUAUAAUUCAGCUAUUUAUAAUAUUGUAAAUUCUAAUAAUCUUUUGUUGUUUCAAGUAAAAGGAAAAUCUAUCACUGCUAACAAAUCUCAAGGCUUAGCAAGUUCAUGAAAAUCUCUUCAACUUGUGUGGUAUGGUCUGAUCCACAUUUACAAAUAUUCUAUAGGAACUAGCUAAGUCCUUCUGACUCAUUCUCCUUCUGUCAAUCACAAAGUUGACAAAGCACAGACAUUCACUUUGUAAUAAACACAAAUGAUGAGGUCAUCCAAACUACCUGCCUAAAUGACUUCUAAAUUGCAACAGUGGGAUGAGCUCCCUGAAUUCAUUGGCUAUUUUGGUAACAUACAGAUACAGUCUCAGACAUCAUUGCGUAACUAUUUUAGGUUUUGUGGUAUUGUGCCUACUAGACACGGAACACAUGUUCUGUGUUUCUACCGUACAAGGUGAAAGAUAUCUAUGUUCAAACUAUUCAUUUCCAAAUCUUUGGCAAAUAUCCAGCUCAAGCUCCAUUUUCUUCUAUAAUGUUUCCAUAUUUCCAUAUAAUGUUUCUCAUAUGUUUUUUUCUCCCUUUAAUCAUUGCUUAUACAACAGUAAAAUUAAUAUAAAACUCCAUAUCUUUAAAAUUAUAGUAAAUUCUUAAUCUCCUACUAUUGUUCUUAAAUAGUUCACAAUUCACCUAUUGUUCACACUGUAAAACAAUAAAAUGGUUGAAUUUAGGGCUAGUUAAAUUGUUUUCUUUGGUAUGCAACAUUGCCUCACCUUAAGUCAGAACAUGUGAUUUUAUUCUGGUUGGUAGGUUAUGCCCUUAUGUUUUCAAUUUCUAGCUUUUUAAAGAGUUGAACAGAGAAUACUUUUUUAAAACAAACAUAACUCAAAACUCAAUUCAAGCCUCACUGACUUAAUUGACAGAAACAAAUAAAGCAUUAACCAUCAUGGUUACUAUUUGUAAAGUAGACAAGAGUCAAAUGCAAACACGUGUUUAAAAAUAUUCACCCUGGAAUCUAAAGCUGGCCCCUUGAAGUACGCGGUAUUUUUGGGGUUUGAGAGUUUCAAUGUUCAGUUUAGUGUUAUAUUGGCAUACAAUCACAGAGCUCUCUCUCUUUUAAAAGAAAAAUGGAAAGUUUAUCACAGAAGUUCUGACUUGAAGAUAAAAUAUAUAUUGGCAAAAUCUAGCACAGUGAAUCCCUUGGUUACAUUAAAUUCUUAAUAUUGGUGAUUUUAUUUUGGCUUUAUGCCUUUUUUCUAUAUGUAUUUUAAAUAUGCAAAUUAUUUUUUAACAAAGUCCCUAUUACUAUUCAGUUACCUACGAUGGUAAAAACAGAAAAAUACCAUUUUUUUUAAGAAGGAAAAAAAACUGGGCAUCUGUUUGACAGAAAUGAGUACUUCAAGUACGUAAGUAAAUCGUUAACAGAGCUAUUAUACCCUAAGCCACAGCAGUAACAAAGAAAAGAGCUAGACUAUGCAUUUUGUAUAAAGAUUAAAUUUCACAACAUAAUAAAUAAAUGCACUGAUUUAUACAACUUGAGAAAACCUUCUACUGAUGAUCACAAGUAAUACUGUCUUAUUAUUCAGUUUGUUGAUAUGAGCACUGCCUCACACAGAGAUUCAAAGGUAGAAUUCUCACCUCCAAAGCCACAAAAUAUACAAAGCUGGUUUGUUAUUAAAUAUUUUGUCUGCCAAAAUUCCUGCAAACUAAAAUACAUCUUGGCAGUUUGAAUAACCAGCAGGAUAAUUAUUUUGGUAUCAAAAGAUAAGAAAAAUUUUAAUAUGAAAAUUAAUAAAACCAGUAAAAGGAGAAACCUGUUGUAUAAAUAGACAUUUUAACACAAAAGUGAGACUUUUAUCUCACUUAAGAGGAAGAAACAAAUUUGAUACAACUUACGUGAAGAUUUGAAAAUAAUUAUCAUAUCUUCCCAGCUCUAGAUAAAUAUAUUACUCCAAUUUAUUAAUCAUCUUCAAUAUACAAUAUAUAACUCACAAAACUGGGAAUGUUACAAUACCAAAACCUUUCACAGCACUAGUUACCAGUUACCAGAACUGUAAGAAAUCUUUAGCUACAUAUCAGCUUAAUACUUAGAAUAUACAAAGAGAUAUGGCUAACCUGUGGUAAACAAUAGUGCAAACAGUAAGGACCACAAAAUAUAUUCUUUUUCUUUUUAGCUUGUUUAUCUAACUGCAUUAUCCUACUUCAAUAGCAUCAUCAAUGGAAUAUGAAACUUAUCUUAAUGCAUUUUAAAAGUAUCCCUAUGUUCUUUUAGGUACGGUUAAUUUACUCUUGAAAUGCAGUUCCUAUGAAAUACCCAGGCUAUUUAUAAAUUCCUAUACAAUGAAUAACUUGUAGCUAAAAUGAAAUAUUUUAGGUGGAGUUUUUAUAGCUUUUAAGUAGUGGCUUGGUUUCUAUUUUUCCAACUUAAACUUGGAUGUGCAUAAGAAAUUAAGAGAGAAGAUAUAAAUAUAUGUAAAUAGAAGAUCUUAGUUACAUAAGGGGAAUCAAUCUGUCCAUCUACAGUAGUAAUAUGGGUCUUUAUCUUAAACAUUGUUACUGAGUUUAACGAAGUCUCAGUUACUGUUAAAGUUAUUUUCCCGAAAAUAACAGAAAGAAGUAUAGAAAUAGGUACAGUCCAGCUGUCUUUUAUCUCUCUGUUCUCUGUAAUGAUAAACAUUUACAGUUUUUUCUUCUAACAGAAAUAUCUCAAAACAAAAUCUGGAGACAAUAACAAAGAGGAACAAUAAUAAAGGUAAAGAAUCCUUUGGGUAUUAUAAAAACCAAUAAUCUUUGCCUUUUUAAAGUUUUGCGUGUUUCUUUAAGAAGGCAUCCGAUUGCAGAGGCAUUGUGUUACCCA
rnacentral:lncRNA from 1 species